rnacentral:rRNA from 1 species
CCUACGGGAGGCAGCAGUGAGGAAUAUUGGUCAAUGGGCGAGAGCCUGAACCAGCCAAGUCGCGUGAAGGAUGACGGCCCUACGGGUUGUAAACUUCUUUUGUCAGGGAGCAAUUGAGUCCACGUGUGGGCUUAGCGAGAGUACCUGAAGAAAAAGCAUCGGCUAACUCCGUGCCAGCAGCCGCGGUAAUACGGAGGAUGCGAGCGUUAUCCGGAUUUAUUGGGUUUAAAGGGUGCGUAGGCGGAAUAGCAAGUCAGCGGUAAAAAUUCGGGGCUCAACCCCGUCGUGCCGUUGAAACUGAUGUUCUUGAGUGGGCGAGAAGUAUGCGGAAUGCGUGGUGUAGCGGUGAAAUGCAUAGAUAUCACGCAGAACUCCGAUUGCGAAGGCGGCUUACUGGACUGUAACUGACGUUGAGGCUCGAAGGCGUGGGGAGCAAACAGGAUUAGAUACCCGGGUAGUC